rnacentral:lncRNA from 1 species
UUAUCUUUUUAACACCACCCAUCAAGUUGAAUUACUAAGCUUUAGUUUAUUAUUUCCCAUGCAGAACGGGUCCCAACUAAAGAGGUUAGGGACUCAUAUUAUGAGCAAUGCUAUGUACCUCCCAAAACUCUGUUCAUGAUGUUUAGUUUCACAUUUGACCCUNAAUUUUUUGUUCAUCUCUGUCUAUGUAUUCUUCAAGUAUUAAAGGAGUAAAGUUAUGCAAAUCAUGUACAGAAAUCAUAUUCUAUGUAACAGUUUUCACAUAUGAUUUUAUACAAGAGAAUAUGUCAGUUGUUUGCUUUGUGCAGCUACGAGGAAUGAUUAUUCUGUCAACCUACCUACAAUACUCCUACUAUCACUUCAGCAUCAUCACUUGUUUGCUAGAUUUGAAUUUCACAGCAAACAGAGAAUGGAUAAUUCCAGAGAAUAUUGUAAGUGACAGCAUCAGCUGAUUAUGCGCCAAANAGUGCCACUCAUGGAAACAAACACUAGUAGAAAAUAUACUUUUUAUAGCGAUUUUUUGUACCGGUUAAAAUUCACCAACUAUAGAAAGUGGUGCAGUGGUAAUUUCGUAAAUAAAAGAAACUUUUCCACACCAAUUAUAAUAAAAUCCGGUAUUAAAAUUAUUGCAGGGCCAUGAUUGUAAAUAACACAGAUAGCUUUACACCGGUUGCAUUGAGGACCGUUGUGGAAAAUUGUUUAUUUUACACCGGUUAACGUUAAAACUGGUAUGGAUUAGAUUAAAUAUUCUUUUCCCGCAACUCGCAAAUCGGAACUCGCAAAUCUUCUUCUUUUUCUUCUAUGCAACUUUUUUUUGUUCUCCCUCUCUUGUUCUCCCUCCUUUCUUCCCCCUUCUUCACUCCUUCCUUCUCUCCAUUCUUCUUCAUUCUCCUGCCAUUGUUCUCGUUAUCGAAGUUGUCGAGGUCGUUGGGUGAAGCUGUUGGUCGGUGUUUGAAGUUGUUCAUUGUGGUUGAAGUUCUCGGCUGUGGUAAGUGUAACCCUUGCGGUGGUGUGCCGUCGUC